AUCGCUUCUUGGCUUUUUGGCUAAGAUCAAGUGUAGUGUCUGUUAUUAUCAGUUUAAUAUCUGAUACGUCCUCUAUCUGAGGAAACUAUAUUAAAUGGAUUUUUGGAGCAGGGAGUCAGAAUAGGGGCUUGUUCCGUCCACUCCAUGCAUCGACCUGGUAUUGCAGUACUUCCAGGAAUGGUGCACACCCA
rfam:Erinaceus europaeus unplaced genomic scaffold scaffold00172, whole genome shotgun sequence